rnacentral:lncRNA from 1 species
CUUCUAUCCUUCUCCAGAACUUAAAAUAUUUUUUUAGAUUUAUUUAUUUUGUAUGUUUUUAUUUCUUUUGUUUGUUUUUAUUUUUUGCUUUUUGAGACAGGGUUUCUCUGUGUAACACCCCUGGCUGUCCCGGAACUCACUCUGUAAACCAGGCUGGUGCCAGACUCACAGAGAUCUGCCUGCUUCCUCCUCCCAAGUGGGAAUUGGAGUUGUGAACCAUGGGAAUCAAUGGUUGUGAACCAUGGUGUGGGUACUGAGAAUGAAAACUCUGUAUCCAUCAGCCAGUACUCUGCUUUGACAUUCUGUUGCUCUUACUCAUUCAAAUUCCCAGGGCUGAUUAAGGAGGCCAAGAGUACAAAGUCUCUUAUCUUACAAGCUGGACAAACUGAGUGUGAUCCUUGAGACCUCCAUGAAGAUGGAAGGAGAGGGGGAACCAACUUCUCAAAGGUGUUCUGUGAUCUCUGCACGGGCACAUGCCUGUGCAUAUGUUCAUACAUACACAAAUACAUGCCAUGCAAACUAUUUUGGAAGACUUUUAAUUUUUAUUCUAUAUGUAUGAAUGUUUUGCCUGCAUGUGUGUAUGUGCCUCAUAUGCAUGCUUAGUGCUCACUAAGGUCAGAGGUCAGAAGAGGGUGCUGGAUUACCUGAUAUGGGAGAAGGUGGUUGUGGCCACCAUGUCAGGACUGGGAACUGAACCUGAGUCCUCUGUAAGAACAAGGUCCCUUAACUGCUGAACCAUCUCUCUAUAUGUACUUCAAUUUUAUUUUUAAAGUUCUUGUACUUCCAAUACUGAGCUACAAAGUACAGAGCUAGAGCCAGACUCUGAAAUGUUUGUAAAAGUUGGUUUUGCUCAGCAUUGCUCCACCUUGGGCUGAGUCGUUUUCUUUGCUGGGUAUCUUGAGGUUGGGAAGAUACUGAGCAGAGUGCCUGGGCUGUACUGACAAGGUAUCAGUGACAUUUGUCACAGUUGUGACAGCCACAGAUAUCUCCUGACAUAUACACAUGUCUCCAAGUAGCCCCCAUGCUCCCUAGGGAUGGACUGCGCUGACUCAGAAGAAUGUCAGUCAUUUCCUGCUAGUUGUCCCUUGGAGAGGUGCUUAGGGCAGUAGACGUGGAUAGUGAUGUCUGCCUACUGGAUUUGCUUAUAAUCCUUAAUCAGUUUUGACCCAAACUUGGUGAAUGCUGAGACUUUUGGGGUCAUUUUGAGGCUCAGGGAUCUUGGGAGACAUCCUCCACUUGUCUCAGAAUACAUGUGUGUGCCUGUGUAACAAUCCUGCAAGUGACAAUGCUGGGGGCACUUAUGCCAUGGGAGUCAGUGGUAAAUUAGGAAGUGGAACAAUUCCAGAGCCUGUGGGCUGGAGGUUUCAAAUGCAGCCAGUGAGCAGAAGGUGUUUUCAGAAUCCAACAAGUGAUUUUGGCUGUAUACUUUCCUUAGUCUUAAAUCCUUGGGUUGCCAAGGCAACUGUGAACUGCCUUUGCUUGGGGAUUCUGAAGGCAGAGAUAAGGAUGUGAGAUGUAGGCUGCAGCGUGGGAUGCUUCCUGCAUGUCACGGUAAUGUGUCAUCCGUCGAGCCUCUGCCACCCUGACUCUCAGAUUAAGAUUAGGAAACAUACAUCAUGACACUUGAUGGAGGUCAGUCUGUUUUCAUUAAAGACUUAGAGAUUGAUAUUUAUAGUAGGAGAAAAGGCUCUGUUCUGAGGAUACACAUCAGACAGACAGACACAUGACAGGUGCCAUUUAGGACUCUGAGAGCAGUUGCUCAGCUGUGAGGUAGGUCCUGACCACUUGCCACGUCCUCUCUGCGUGUCCUCAUCCUGGUUCCUGGAUCACUUAACUUUUACAAGUGAUUUUCAAAACAAAACUGCAUUAAAACGCGCAGGUCUGAAAAAUCAGUGUUAGAACUGAUUUCGUUUAUGUGUUAGCUGGUGGAAACUGCCUUAAAUAAGCAUAUCGUAAGUAGUACGUAGCCAUGUGAUGGACACAGGCAAGCCUUCUGGAGCCUCGUUCCUCUCUGGAGCCUCGUAGGGUGGAGCCUCCCCUGAUCCAUCUGCAAAGAGAGGCCAGUGAUGGUUCUCAUGGUAGCUAGUGACUUGUCUACGAGGUGCGAUAGUAACAAGCUCAGGCACGGUGAAGAAAGAUUCCAGGGCCUCCAGCUAUGCUCCUUCCUAAAAUAUAUCACAAGCAUCAGAAUGCAAAGCUGUUUUAAAGGUAAAGGUUUUGUUGAAUUAACGUAUUGGACUUUGGGAAGAUUGAACCUCCACAGGUUGGGAUUGAUCAGGACCCCAGUGUAGCUCUAGCUGAAGAUGAGGGAUUUGGGGAUGCAGUGUGACCACACUCAGUGGAACCUCCUUGCCUGGGGGAUGGAUGGCACGUGCUUUCAGGAUGAGCCUCUUUCUAUUCUUCUCCGGGUCAGAUGAAGCCUACAUUUCUCUUCCUAUCUCAUCCUAGCAGUGAAUGGGAGCUAAAGGGAGGGCUCAACGCCUCCUAGACUAUCAUAGCCGUCCUGGUCCACACAACGCAGAUAGGAAGACUUACAGGAUAAAAACCCUGUGAGCUUAUCUCUGUUCUCAUGUACAGAUUUCGUGGUUGUGAGGAGUAUGCCAGGCUGCCCUGGUGCUGACUAGGCUUGAACAUUUACUAUGCUGUUGAUAAAGUCACUUUUUCAUGCUGUCGUUUAGACAGCAUAACAAAUUUGAUCAUAUUUGUUUUUUUUAAUUUGUUCUUCAUUCAUACAUUACAUCCCAACUGCAGUUUUCUUUCCCUCCACUCCUCUCUCAUCCCCAGAUCCAUUUCUCUUCUGUUUUCUUUCAGAAUUGAUCUCUGUAAAGAAAAUACUCUGAGCCUGGUGUGGCUUUGAGGGGAAGGUGACACCACCUGGGUCAGCCCACCCACAUCCCACAUUCCAUAGCACUGAUCUGGGCUUCACCUUUCUCCGCUUUCUCUGCUCACCAUUUUGCCUGUGUGGUUUUCCUCUGAAAUAUGACUGACAGAACCUCCUGAAGUCAGUUCUGACUGGACCUUCUUACAGCGUUUAGGUGGCAGCUGGUGACCAGACAGGCAAAAUUGCUCUUUUGGGGGGUGGCUUUGUUGAAAGAAGGACCUGGCACUGAGGUGGAAAAGUUGGUCACACCCACCCUCCUGCCAAUCCUGUCAGUGCUCUUGCCACAGAACAGUAAGGAGGCAAGAACAAGAGGCAAGUGAAAGCAUAGGUCAGAAACAUGGAGUUUUAUGGGAAGGAAUGUCCUGGCUCAGGAGUGUUUAUGACAGGCUGAGCUCCAGGAUCUUCUUAGAUUCUGAUAUGCCCAGUCUAUACAAAGCGACUUCACGUAGGGGGGCAGGUGGACUCCGUCCCACAACCUUCCCCUUUGCAUCUCUAAGCAGUCCUUAGCCAGAGCCUCCUAGGUCUCAUUGUCCCUCCCUCUUCAGGCUGAGCUCUAAUGGAAGUGUUUGUUUUGUCAUGCUGUUUUC